rnacentral:rRNA from 1 species
UACGAAGGGGGCUAGCGUUGCUCGGAAUCACUGGGCGUAAAGGGUGCGUAGGCGGGUCUUUAAGUCAGGGGUGAAAUCCUGGAGCUCAACUCCAGAACUGCCUUUGAUACUGAAGAUCUUGAGUUCGGGAGAGGUGAGUGGAACUGCGAGUGUAGAGGUGAAAUUCGUAGAUAUUCGCAAGAACACCAGUGGCGAAGGCGGCUCACUGGCCCCAUACUGACGCUGAGGCACGAAAGCGUGGGGAGCAAACAGG